rnacentral:rRNA from 1 species
GUGGGGAAUAUUGGACAAUGGGCGAAAGCCUGAUCCAGCCAUGCCGCGUGUGUGAAGAAGGUCUUCGGAUUGUAAAGCACUUUAAGUUGGGAGGAAGGGCAGUAAGUUAAUACCUUGCUGUUUUGACGUUACCGACAGAAUAAGCACCGGCUAACUUCGUGCCAGCAGCCGCGGUAAUACGAAGGGUGCAAGCGUUAAUCGGAAUUACUGGGCGUAAAGCGCGCGUAGGUGGUUUUGUAAGUUGGAGGUGAAAUCCCCGGGCUCAACCUGGGAACUGCCUCCAAAACUGAAUGACUAGAGUACGGUAGAGGGUAGUGGAAGUUCCUGUGUAGCGGUGAAAUGCGUAGAUAUAGGAAGGAACACCAGUGGCGAAGGCGACUACCUGGACUGAUACUGACACUGAGGUGCGAAAGCGUGGGGAGCAAACAGGAUUAGAAACCCGUGUAGUCC